AAAUUGUUGAAAGGGAAGCGCUUGUGACCAGACUUGCGCCGGGCGGCUCAUCAGGGGUUCUCCCCUGUGCACUCCGCCCGGCACAGGCCAGCAUCGGUUCUCGUGGGGGGAUAAGAACGGUGGGAACGUGGCCCCCCUUCGGGGGGGUGUUAUAGCCCGCCGUACGAUACCCUCGUGGGGACCGAGGUUCGCGCUCCGCAAGGAUGCUGGCGUAAUGGUCAUCAGCGACCCGUCUUGAAACACGGACCAAGGAGUCGUCCAUUAGAGCGAGCGUUUGGGUGUAAAACCCGCACGCGUAAUGAAAGUGAACGCAGGUGAGAGCUUCGGCGCAUCAUCGACCGAUCCUGAUGUCCUCGGAUGGAUUUGAGUAAGAGUUUUAACGGACGGACCCGAAAGACAGUGAACUAUGCUUGUAUAGGGUGAAGCCAGAGGAAACUCUGGUGGAGGCUCGCAGCGGUUCUGACGUGCAAAUCGAU
rnacentral:rRNA from 1 species